UAAUACGUAAAAGACAAGUGUUAUUCAUCUUUAAUAGGUUUAAAGGGUACUUAGACGGUAAACAAAGCCUCUAAAAGGGACUAGUUUGCUAGAGUUUUAUGUGAAGGAGUUUUAAAGUACUACUGGUGUAGAGAUGAAAUUCAGUUAUACCUUACAUGGCACAGGUUAAGGCGAAAGCAUCUUCUUAUGUAAAAACUGACGUUAAAGGACGAAGGCUUUGUGUCUCGAACAGGAUUAGAUACCCUAGUAGUCUAAGCAGAAAAUUAUGAAUGUCAUAGAUUAGAUUUAGUUUGAUCUAUAAAUGAAAGUGUAAGCAUUCCACCUCAAGAGUAAUUUGGCAACAUUGGAACUGAAAUCAUUAGACCGUUUCUGAAACCAGUAGUGAAGUAUGUUGUUUAAUUUGAUAACCCGCAAAAAACCUUACCACAAUUUGAAUAGAUAUAUUUUAUCAUACAAGUGUUGCAUGGCUGUUUUUAGUUAAUGUCGUGAGAUUUUGGUUAGUUCCAUUAAAUUAACGUAAACCCUUACUUUAUUUUAAAAUAAAGUAGUUCACCGCUAUAUUGGAUGUGAUAAUAGGGAUCAAGACAAGUCGUU
rnacentral:rRNA from 1 species